GUCUACAGCCAUACCACCCUGAUUGCGCCUGAUCUCAUCUGAUCUCAGAAGUUAAGCAGGAUUGGGUCUGGUUAGUACCUGGAUGGGAGAAUCAUCAUGUAGCUU
rnacentral:rRNA from 1 species